UACGAAGGGGGCUAGCGUUGUUCGGAAUUACUGGGCGUAAAGCGCGCGCAGGCGGUCUUCCAAGUCAGUGGUGAAAGCCCGGGGCUCAACUCCGGAAUUGCCUUUAAGACUGCAUCGCUCGAAUUGUGGAGAGGUAAGUGGAAUUCCGAGUGUAGAGGUGAAAUUCGUAGAUAUUCGGAAGAACACCAGUGGCGAAGGCGACUUACUGGACACAUAUUGACGCUGAGGUGCGAAAGCGUGGGGAGCAAACAGG
rnacentral:rRNA from 1 species